rnacentral:tRNA from 1 species
UACUUAUUAGUACGAGUAGUACUAGUAGUACUUGUACUACUACGAGUAGUACGAUUAUUACUAGUAGUACAUACUACUACUAGUAG